rnacentral:rRNA from 1 species
CCUACGGGUGGCAGCAGUGGGGAAUAUUGGGCAAUGGGCGCAAGCCUGACCCAGCAACGCCGCGUGAAGGAAGAAGGCUCUCGGGUUGUAAACUUCUUUUAUCAGGGACGAAGCAAGUGACGGUACCUGAUGAAUAAGCCACGGCUAACUACGUGCCAGCAGCCGCGGUACUACGUAGGUGGCAAGCGUUAUCCGGAUUUACUGGGUGGAAAGGGCGUGGAGGCGGGAAGACAAGUCAGAUGUGAAAACCAUGGGCUCAACCUGUGGCCUGCAUUUGAAACUGUUUGGCUUGAGUACUGGAGAGGCAGAUGGAAUUCCUAGUGUAGCGGUGAAAUGCGUAGAGAUUAGGAGGAAAACCAGUGGCGAAGGCGGUCCGCUGGAC